UAUACUGCACAAUCCCAGCUCAUUGUGAGGACUCCAUUUGUUGGAAGUCUAAGGAGCAUUCUGUGUAUCUGAGCUAAGUUUCCACUUUAGGUUCCUUCUUGCCUUUCUUCUUGUUGUGGUGAAGCUUUGUGCUUCCAUGACAUUUUUGCUCUUUCUAGCUUGCCUUCUUCUCAUCACGCGUUGUUUGGUUUGAAGGAAUUACUAGUAAGCAAACCAAAUGCUAGGGUGAAAUAGGGAUGUCAAAUCCGCUUUACGGGGCUGGAUCAUAUCUAACCCAACUUAAGACUCAUUUUUAACUCAUUUUUUAACUCAAAUUCGAUUCGAAUUCUAAAUGGAUCAAAAAGUUUAACCUGAACUCAACCUAAUUUCAACUUGUUAACGAGAACAUAACCCGUAUGACCUGUUUAACAUAACACAUAAUGAUCAUUUAGGUUAAAUCUCUGGUCGAUUAUGGGUUCGCGGGUUAACUCAAAUCCAACAAAAAACAAUAAAUGAGUUGAGAUUCUUAACUGGAAAUUAAACUUUUUUUGUGUCCAGUUAAACGGGUCGAGUUGAUAUAUUGGGUCAAUUUUUUUGACUCCGAUGGGGUGAAAUGGAUAGGCAGAGCCAGGUUUGCAUUGUUCUGCUGAGGGGUCCUAAGAAUGCAAGAGAAGCUGUGAAGCACUUUGGACCUGCACCUGGAGUUCCCCACAGUCACACAAAGCCCUAUGUUCGCUCUAAAGGAAGGAAAUUUGAGAAGGCUAGGGGUAGGAGAAACAGCAGGGGUUUUAGGGUUUGAGCAGCUCCAUAAUUUUGUCUGGUUUUUUACCAGUCGCAAUCGGACUCUUCUGGAGGUUCAAAAUUUUCAUCUGGCUUUUCUUUCACCAGCAUCUAUUUUAUUAUGGUUUAGUUUAUCUGGCAUUAUUGUAUGUAGCUUAACGUUGUUAAUUUGAGUUAUUAUUAAGUUCUUAUUUGGAUUUUAA